rfam:Collinsella intestinalis DSM 13280 genomic scaffold Scfld_02_0, whole genome shotgun sequence.
GUUUUGUUUCAGGGCGGGGUGCAAUUCCCCACCGGCGGUAAAUGCACGGCAAGACCCCUUGCCAGGCGCAUGAGCCCGCGAGCCGCGAAGCGCGGCCGACCCGGUGCGAUUCCGGGGCCGACGGUAUAGUCCGGAUGGAAGAAACGGAAG